rnacentral:rRNA from 1 species
UGGCACCUACGGGGCGCAGCAGUGGGGAAUAUUGCGCAAUGGGCGAAAGCCUGACGCAGCGACGCCGCGUGAGGGAUGAAGGUCUUCGGGUUGUAAACUUCUUUUCUGAGGGACGAAGAAAGUGACGGUACCUCAGGAAUAAGCCACGGCUAACUACGUGCCAGCAGCCGCGGUAAUACGGAGGGUGCGAGCGUUAAUCGGAAUUACUGGGCGUAAAGCGCUCGUAGGCGGUAUGUCAAGUCAAGGGUGAAAUCCCCGCGCUCAACGUGGGAACUGCCUUUGAAACUGGCAAACUGAAGUGUGUG